GCCACAGCAGCUCACUAGGAGACUUACAGCCCAACCUACCUCACAGUGAAGAAAUAGAGGAGGAUGGAGCACUAUUUAUGUGCCUUGAGUUCCUAAACAAAGGGUCAGCUAAUCCUUGGACUUCAGUACAGAACAUCAGCUGGUUGACAGAAUACAAAAUUUUGCAAUCAAACAUUGCUAUAUUGCAGAUUUUAUAGGACAAGAAACUCUGCCUUUAAGACUACAAUCAACCUCAUAUCCUGAAGAAAGAGAAGAAUGGCAAGGAGAAAAAUGCUUUAUAAUGAUUUCCUUAGCUGAAAUAUACACUGAAGAAUUGUUCUGAUUUUCAUGGUUCAUGAUUGUUCUGAUUUUUAGCAAGUAAUAAUAGCUGUUAAACUUUGUUAGAGUCUAAUAUCUGUUAGUCUCUCCCUGUUAGAGAUUUGUAAAAGUGCACAUCUUAUGCAGCAUCUGGGCAUUUCACGAGGAAUAAUAAAACAAUAAAAAUAGUAAAAUAAAACAUAAAAACCAACAAAAAACCUCUGGGUACUCCCAAACACAAUUAAUCCAGAAACCAUUUUAGAGAUUCCUUGUUGUUACAUCAAAAUUGUCCAAAAAGGCAUUAUAUGAAAUAAUCAGGGAAGGCCUAUGCAAUAUAUUGGGUCACAUUAAAAAAAAAUCCCACUUUCAUGCAUUAAGGGGACUCAGCCUUCCAUCCUUCCGAGGUCGGUAAAAUGAGGAGCCAAAUUGUUGGGGGCAAUAUGCUAACUCUGUAAACCACUUAGAGAGGGAUGUAAAACACUGUGGAGUGGGUAUAUAAGUCUAAGUAGGGAGUGGUAAUGAGUAUUCUCAUCCCUGGGACUGAGAAUAGUGAUCUUGUAGGGUUUCUAACUUCAGUCCCUAGACAGAUUAUUCCUAAAACAAUUUUACAUUUGCAUAUUUGUUACCCAGCUCUUUAAAGAGGCGCAUUUACUCUGUCACAAUGUGAUUAUCUUUUAUAAACCACCUAUUCUCCAUUACAAGAGAAAUAAGCAUAGUAGAAAAAGCAAUACACAAUUUAUAUUUAAACACGGUCCUUCUCUCCUAUGAGAACAAGCAUAGUGACUAUAUGGCAUGUCCCCUGAUUUUUGCAGUUCCUCCUCUACCCAAUGUUUAUGGAGCAUAACAAACUCUAAAAGAAAUCAAAGGGAAAAGAACAGGCUAGGGAUGGAGUGGGGAGGCACACAGAACAACUUCCUUGUCGGGCCGUAGCAGAGGCUGCCCCGGUUACCUGUUCCGAAGGUGCCUCGACUCUCCAGGCACGCGUCCCGACGGCCCGACAUCCAGCUGACUGGCGGGCAUGCACGGAAGGUGCUCCGAUGACCAGCUGGCAUUGCUGGCUCUGCACAUGCGCAGACGACGGCCAGCAUACUACAACGCAUGCGCAGAUGGUCGGAAGGGCUAAAACUGCCCAGUGCCCAUGCGCGGACGCCGAGAUGAAGCUAUUGACAGUAAUUGAAGCAAUACAAGCUGCCGAAGCGUCGGGAAGCCGUCGAAGCGUCGGGAAGCGUCGGGAGGCGGCAGCUGAAGGCUAGCAUAAUCGGGAUGGGUCACCAUAUAUGGGUAUUUAGAGCAGUCCGGAAGAGGGUGACGGUGCAUGGGU